CAAGACGUCGAACUGUUCGAUAAAUAUCUCGCAGUUCGGUCACCAAGUGAGGAUUACAGAGAAACACGAAAGCCUAGAUUUCGGCAGAAAUGCAUAUGUGUAUAUGUUGAUAAAUAUACGGAGGACAAAAAAUACAUACCGCUGAAGGAACGAAAGAUCCUGGCGAAAAAAGGAAAAAAAAGGAGGAAGAGAAUAAACAAUUCGAGAUAUGUAAACUGCGAGAUCCUUGGAACACUCAUUUACAACUUCAUAUUCUUCAGGAUACUCUCCAGUGACAAGUCCCCACCGUUUUUCGUACAGUGCUCCGUGUGAUUUUUCAUUUCGACAAAAAGAUAAAAAAUUUGAAAAUAGUGGAAUCAGUCAUUACUGAAGUGGAGAGGACCUACCGGAUGAUGCAUGCGACCAGCUUUGAAGGAUCUCCCAUCAAGGAUUUAUAAGACAUCCACAACCUCUUCAGUGGGCCCCCAUCAUCCCAACCACAGUACGAACAAUUGGGAUCCCGAGGAGUGGGAGUAAGGUGCCACUCACCUCCCCGACGCGGCGAAAAAAACAAAAUUUUUUUUGAAAAACAUCUGUAAUUCAUUCGCAUUGUUUUGAAUUUAAAAAAAAUUUAUUUUUUGGGGAGUUCGGUGAGGGAUACAUGGGUUUUGUAACGUAUAACACUCGGAAUUCGUGUAGUAUAUCGAAUAAGAUUUAUUCACAGCAAUGUAACUUGGUUUACAUCAUGAGAGCUGGAACGAGAGUGUGACCUCCCGCGACAAAAGUAUUAGAUCAUCGAAUCGAGGAUGUCCGAAUUAUAAUGUCCGAAUAAUAAUGCGAAAUAAAUAUAUCAGUAGCUUCGCUACAUUCUAUUUGAGACUUAGUUUUCUUGAAUAAAAGAAUGUGAUCUA